rnacentral:rRNA from 1 species
GACGAACCGUGCGAACGUUGUUCGGAAUCACUGGGCUUAAAGGGCGCGUAGGCGGGUCAUCAAGUCAGGGGUGAAAUACUCCGGCCUAACCGGAGAACGGCCUCUGAUACUGGUGACCUCGAGGGGUGUGAGGGGCAUGUGGAACUUCCGGUGGAGCGGUGAAAUGCGUAGAUAUCGGAAGGAACGCCGGUGGCGAAGGCGGGUCUCUGGGCCGAUACUGACGCUGAGGAGCGAAAGCGUGGGGAGCGAACAGG